UAUUCUUAGUUGCCAGCGGUUCGGCCGGGGACUCUAAGAAGACUGCCAGCGCAAGCUGUGAGGAAGGUGGGGAUGACGUCAAAUCAUCACGGCCCUUACGUCCUGGGCUACACACGUGCUACAAUGGUAGAGACAGAGGGCAGCCACCUGGUGACAGGGAGCGAAUCCUUAAACUCUAUCUCAGUUCGGAUCGAAGUCUGCAACUCGACUUCGUGAAGCUGGAAUCGCUAGUAAUCGCGCAUCAGCCAUGGCGCGGUGAAUACGUUC
rnacentral:rRNA from 1 species